ensembl:lncRNA
CUAGAUGAUUAAUAAUUUACUUAAUAGUAGAUGUGACUUAGUAAUAUUAUUUCUGUAUAACCAGUUAGAAAAUUGUAUUGCAUUUAUUCAUGUUUAAUAUCUAGGUUCCCAGAUAUGUUUUAUAUUUGAGACCUUAAUCACAAUGCAAUUUUUUAUUGAUGGGAGACAUGUGAUCAGUGACUUCAAGCUCAUACUUUAAUGUUAAGUAGGUUUUUAAGGCUAUUAAAAUGGUGUCUCUCAGACACCAAACAGAAUAUGAGAGGUUAUAAUAAAUUCACUGCACUGUGUUAAAUGAGUGAUUUUAUUUCUGUUAUAGCCUAGGGAAUCAGAGAAACAUAGAGAGCCCUUGAGUGUGCACAUUUUCCCUCUCUCUCAGAGCAAGGGCAGAAUUCAAAGUGGAAGGAAUUGUGGUGCUUACCAUCUGUAAUCUCUCAGAGGGAAGAAUCAUCUCAUGCUAUGAUUAUAGAGAAGGAACGAGGAUUAUUACCGUGGCCCUGUGAGUGAAGCUCGCUGAUAAAUUCUGUAUUAAGAUGUUCCAGUAUAUUGAAAUUUCUCCCCCACAUGCUGGAGCCGGAGCAAAGAAAGACCAUUACAAUGGCCAUUUUCUCCUUGAGGCACUGGAUCAGGCGGAUGGUGGCUGUUAUUUGUCUAUGCAGUGAGGCUGAACGAAAGAAGAGCUGUGGUGCUUAA